rnacentral:rRNA from 1 species
CUUAACCCCGGAUCUGCGGUGGGUACGGGCAGACUAGAGUGCAGUAGGGGAGACUGGAAUUCCUGGUGUAGCGGUGGAAUGCGCAGAUAUCAGGAGGAACACCGAUGGCGAAGGCAGGUCUCUGGGCUGUAACUGACGCUGAGGAGCGAAAGCAUGGGGAGCGAACAGGAUUAGAUACCCUGGUAGUCCAUGCCGUAAACGUUGGGCACUAGGUGUGGGGACCAUUCCACGGUUUCCGCGCCGCAGCUAACGCAUUAAGUGCCCCGCCUGGGGAGUACGGCCGCAAGGCUAAAACUCAAAGGAAUUGACGGGGGCCCGCACAAGCGGCGGAGCAUGCGGAUUAAUUCGAUGCAACGCGAAGAACCUUACCAAGGCUUGACAUGUUCUCGAUCGCCGUAGAGAUACGGUUUCCCCUUUGGGGUGGGUUCACAGGUGGUGCAUGGUUGUCGUCAGCUCGUGUCGUGAGAUGUUGGGUUAAGUCCCGCAACGAGCGCAACCCUCGUUCCAUGUUGCCAGCACGUCGUGGUGGGGACUCAUGGGAGACUGCCGGGGUCAACUCGGAGGAAGGUGAGGACGACGUCAAAUCAUCAUGCCCCUUAUGUCUUGGGCUUCACGCAUGCUACAAUGGCCGGUACAAUGGGUUGCGAUACUGUGAGGUGGAGCUAAUCCCAAAAAGCCGGUCUCAGUUCGGAUUGGGGUCUGCAACUCGACCCCAUGAAGUCGGAGUCGCUAGUAAUCGCAGAU